rnacentral:lncRNA from 1 species
GUUGCUACUAUUGGUUGGUAGACCGAGUAUUCAUACUGUUAAGAACCUGGGGGGACAGUAUAACACUGGGAUUUGGCUUGUUUGUUUGCUAAAUUUUCUGGAUGAGUUGUUGUCCAUUUGGUAUGAUGAAACUAUGUUCAGAGUCAAAUAAUUGGACAUGUAAUCAUAUUGGAAAUGAAAAAAGGUUUAGGGCAGGUAUUUGGUUGCUACUAUUGGUUGGUAGACCGAGUAUUCAUACUGUUAAUAACCUGGGGGGACAGUAUAACAUUGGGAUUUGGCUUGUUUGUUUGCUAAAUUUUCUGGAUGAGUUGUUGUCCAUUUGGUAUGAUGAAACUAUGUUCGGAGUCAAAUAAUUGGACAUGUAAUCAUAUUGGAAACGAAAAAAAGGUUUAGGGCAGGUAUGUGGUUGCUACUAUUGGUUGGUAGACCGAGUAUUCAUACUGUUAAGAACCUGGGGG